rnacentral:lncRNA from 1 species
UUAGGAUUUGGUUUAGGAUUUAGGAUUUAGGGUUUGAUUUAGGAUUUAGGAUUUUAUUAGGGUUUGUUUAGGAUUUGAGAUUAAAUUAGCUUUGGCCUAAAGUUUGAAUGAAGUCCAAUAGGAUUUUAAUUAGGAUUAAAUUAAGAUUAAAUUGAGAUGUAUUUGAGAAAUAUUUAUAAUUAUUCUAAUAUUUCUUUAAGAUUUCUUAUUGUUUCUUUGAAAUUUCUUUGAGGUUUCAU